GGGACACGUGAAACCCUGUGGGAAGCAGGAGGGACCACCCUCCAAGGCUAAAUACUACCUAGUGACCGAUAGCGUAUAGUACCGUGAGGGAAAGGUGAAAAGAACCCCGGGAGGGGAGUGAAAUAGAACCUGAAACCCUGCACUUACAAGCUGUGGAAGCACAUUUCUUGUGUGACCGCGUACUUUUUGUAGAACGGGCCAACGAGUUACGUUAAGUAGCAAGGUUAAGCACUUAAGGUGCGGAGCCGUAGCGAAAGCGAGUUUUAACUGAGCGUUCAGUUACUUGACGUAGACCCGAAACCGGGCGACCUACCCAUGAGCAGGAUGAAGCGAAAGUAAAAUUUCGUGGAGGUCCGAACCCACGAGCGUUGAAAAGCUCGGGGAUGACUUGUGGGUAGCGGUGAAAUUCCAAUCGAGCCCGGAGAUAGCUGGUUCUCCCCGAAAUAGCUUUAGGGCUAGCCUCAAGGUGAGAGAUACGGAGGUAGAGCACUGAAUGUCCUAGGGGGUAUUGCACCUACCGAAGACUAUCAAACUCCGAAUGCCGUCAUCUUAUACUUGGGAGUCAGACUGUGGGUGAUAAGAUUCAUAGUCGAAAGGGCAACAGCCCAGAUCGUCAGCUAAGGUCCCUAAAUGUAAGUUAAGUGGUAAAGGAUGUGGGAUUGCACAGACAACCAGGAUGUUGGCUUAGAAGCAGCCACUCAUUCAAAGAGUGCGUAAUAGCUCACUGGUCGAGUGAUCCUGCGCCGAAGAUUUCCGGGGCUAAAACUUACUACCGAAGCUACGGCAUCAGUAAUGAUGGGUAGGGGAGCUUCCCAUACGGGUUGAAGCAUGACCGUAAGGACAUGUGGACAGUAUGGGAGUGAGAAUGUUGGCAUGAGUAGCGAGAUGUGGGUGAGAAUCCCACAGGCCGUAAACCCAAGGUUUCCAGGGGAAGGUUCGUCCGCCCUGGGUUAGUCGGGACCUAAGCUGAGGCCGAAAGGCGUAGGUGAUGGACAACAGGUUGAUAUUCCUGUACUACCGAUAACCGUUUGAGAGAAGGGAUGACACAGUAGGAUAAGCUAAGCACACUGUUGGUUAUGUGUGCCCAAGCAUUGAGGCAGUCAAAGUAGGCAAAUCCGCUUUGAUAAUGCUGGGAUGUGAUGGGGAGCGAAAUUUAGUAGCGAAGUAGCUGAUUUCACACUGUCAAGAAAAGUCUCUAUCGAGGUUAAAGGUACCCGUACCGCAAACCGACACAGGUGGGUGAGGAGAGUAUCCUAAGGCCAGCGAGAGAACUGUUGUUAAGGAACUCGGCAAAAUGACCCCGUAACUUAGGGAUAAGGGGUGCCACCAUCAGGUGGCCGCAGAGAAUAGGCCCAAGCGACUGUUUACCAAAAACAUAGGUUUCUGCUAAGUCGCAAGACGAUGUAUAGGAGCUGACGCCUGCCCGGUGCUGGAA
rnacentral:rRNA from 1 species